ensembl:miRNA dre-mir-2196 dre-mir-2196
CAGGGUAAUUGCUUCGAAUGUUCCUCUCUGUGCUGCCAUUUGGGACCGUUCCGAAGCGAAAGGGAGGAUAAUGUUCCUGGGGUUUUUGAAACUGAAACAAAAAGUAAUAA